rnacentral:lncRNA from 1 species
AAGAUACGAGUGAAGGUGAAAGUGAUGCUUCUUCUUCUGAUUAAUGGUUCCUGGCUGACUUAAAGACUGGGAGGUGUGCUGGAAAGCUUGGUGGAAGCUAGUGCUGAUUGAAAGGCUGAUGUUUUUUUUCUGUUUUUGUAUUUUAUGGCAGUCCUUUUGAUGCCUGUUAUGUAAUAUUUAGGGCUCUUAAAGAGUUCCUUGAAUGUGUUCAUUAUCUCAGCUUUCAGCUGUGUAUAAUGUUGGUGUGUA